rnacentral:rRNA from 1 species
AGUGAACGCUGGCGGCAGGCCUAACACAUGCAAGUCGAACGGCAGCACAGUAAGAGCUUGCUCUUACGGGUGGCGAGUGGCGAACGGGUGAGGAAUACAUCGGAAUCUACUUUUUCGUGGGGGAUAACGUAGGGAAACUUACGCUAAUACCGCAUACGACCUACGGGUGAAAGCAGGGGAUCUUCGGACCUUGCGCGAUUGAAUGAGCCGAUGUCGGAUUAGCUAGUUGGCGGGGUAAAGGCCCACCAAGGCGACGAUCCGUAGCUGGUCUGAGAGGAUGAUCAGCCACACUGGAACUGAGACACGGUCCAGACUCCUACGGGAGGCAGCAGUGGGGAAUAUUGGACAAUGGGCGCAAGCCUGAUCCAGCCAUACCGCGUGGGUGAAGAAGGCCUUCGGGUUGUAAAGCCCUUUUGUUGGGAAAGAAAAGCAGCAGGUUAAUACCCCGCUGUUCUGACGGUACCCAAAGAAUAAGCACCGGCUAACUUCGUG